AGCGUCAUUGCAACACUCAGGCUCCGCCUGGUAUUGGGCGCCGCCCCGUCGCGGGCGCGCCUCAAACCCCUCGGCGUCGCCGUCCGUCCUCGAGCGCAGCGAGAAUCCUUCCAGCGUCAUCGAGGCGGGCCGUGGCCGCCGGAAGCCAACACCAUUCAAAGGUUGACCUCGGAUCGGGUGGGGAUACCCGCUGAACUUAA
rnacentral:misc_RNA from 1 species